UGGGGGAUAUUGCACAAUGGGCGAAAGCCUGAUGCAGCGACGCCGCGUGGGGGAUGAAGGCCUUCGGGUUGUAAACUUCUUUUGCUCUGAACAAGGCAUGCUAAUGGGUGUGUUGAGUGUAGGGGUUGAUUAGCGCCGGCUAACUACGUGCCAGCAGCCGCGGUAAUACGUAGGGCGCGAGCGUUGUCCGGAAUUAUUGGGCGUAAAGGGCUUGUAGGUGGCUGGUUGCGUCUGUCGUGAAAGCUCAUGGCUUAACUGUGGGUUUGCGGUGGGUACGGGCUGGCUUGAGUGCAGUAGGGGAGGCUGGAAUUCCUGGUGUAGCGGUGGAAUGCGCAGAUAUCAGGAGGAAUUCCGGUGGCGAAGGCGGGUCUCUGGGCUGUUACUGACACUGAGGAGCGAAAGCAUGGGGAGCGAACAGG
rnacentral:rRNA from 1 species